UAGGGAAUCUUCCGCAAUGGACGCAAGUCUGACGGAGCAACGCCGCGUGAGUGAAGAAGGAUUUCGGUUCGUAAAACUCUGUUGUUAGAGAAGAACAGCGCAUAGAGUAACUGUUAUGCGUGUGACGGUAUCUAACCAGAAAGCCACGGCUAACUACGUGCCAGCAGCCGCGGUAAUACGUAGGUGGCAAGCGUUGUCCGGAUUUAUUGGGCGUAAAGCGAGCGCAGGCGGUCAAUUAAGUCUGAUGUGGAAGCCCCCGGCUCAACCGGGGAGGGUCAUUGGAAACUGGUUGACUUGAGUGCAGAAGAGGAGGGUAGAAUUCCAUGUGUAGCGGUGAAAUGCGUAGAUAUAUGGAAGAACGCCAGUGGCGAAGGGGACUCUCUGGUCUGUAACUGACGCUGAAGCUCGAAAGCGUGGGUAGCAAACAGG
rnacentral:rRNA from 1 species